CAGCAGCCGCGGGAAUACGAAGGGUGCAAGCGUUAAUCGGAAUUACUGGGCGUAAAGCGCGCGUAGGUGGUUCAUUAAGUUGGAUGUGAAAGCCCUGGGCUCAACCUGGGAACUGCAUCCAAAACUGGUGAGCUAGAGUACGGUAGAGGGUAGUGGAAUUUCCUGUGUAGCGGUGAAAUGCGUAGAUAUAGGAAGGAACACCAGUGGCGAAGGCGACUACCUGGACUGAUACUGACACUGAGGUGCGAAAGCGUGGGGAGCAAACAGGAUUAGAUACCCGAGUAGUCCCUGUCUCUUAUAC
rnacentral:rRNA from 1 species